GUGUUUUUAUCCAUACUGAGGACUAUCGUCGGACUGCUAAGAAAGGGGGUUGAUGGUCAAAUGAUACCAACAAUGUCACGCUAAUUGCCAAUAAAUAAACAAUCGACCACUACUGGCUGAUGCAAAGCUUUUACAAGUUGGCAUCGAAGCGCCAUCUCAGACUACAUUUAAAAGAUGUCAGAGGCCCUCAUCCUCACCUUUCAGUCCCAGCUCUCCAGCCUGUUGGAGACUGUCCUCAAGUCAGCCAUGUACGAGAUCACUAGGCUGGUGGAGGACAGCUUCUUAGAGGAAAUGGGCCGUGGCAGGCAGGAAGUCGAGAUGCUGCGGUUGAAACUACAGCUAUCUGAGCUCAAACUAAGGGAAAAAGAGCGUGAAAAAGUGAAGCGGGUGAGGUGUGUAAACUGUGGAAAAGCUAGCGCCUCCAGUGACGGAACACACAAUGAGCCACAAACAGAGGCCGACACCCUCUGCCUGAGCCUGAGUGUCCGUGAGCAGCGCCAGUGUGGACAACUGUGUGAAGAAGAGGAGUGGAGCUCCAGAGAGAUACGCGAUAGCAAGCCUUGUGUAGCCCCUUCCUAUGUAAACAAUAAGGGGGACAGUCAAAGCCUGAGUUUGUCAUCUCCAUCUUCAACACCAGACAAGCAGUGGACAUUGCAGAGCCCCAUUUCAACUGCCGGAUCUGCCAUAAACCAGGAGAUUGAUUCCCUCUCUGGUGCCAAGCACAAAAACAGACAUGCAGCCGACCCUGGUGGGGUGGUCUCCUCGCCCCACAUCAGAGAGAGUGUUCAGGAAUCACAGGCAGCACAGACAAGCCUGCACGCCACGUUAGCAGUACCAGGCAGCAGCUGCCACAGUAGCACCAGCAGUGACUUGGUCCCCCCCUCUGCUUUCCCUGAUCUGAAGUCGGAGAGCGACUCGGCAGCUCCGUUUCUUAUUAAGGAGGAGGAAGAGGCCUUGCCGGUGUGGAACCCCAGUCAUGAGGAGGAAGAGCUUUGUCAGGACAUGGCAAAUCCACCAGAGACACACUCCAGCGUGCCCUGGAACCAGGAGGAGAUGCAGGUAGAGACCCUUAACAAUAUCUCCCCUCUUGUCUCACAGGAGACAGACACGUUCGUCAUGUCAUAUUCUGUUAAGCUGGACACACUGGCAUCACAAACCGGGCAGGUCCAGCCCCUGCUGUUCAGUCCAGCAAUGGCAGAUUUGACUGACAAGUCAGUUGGAUCUGAUUUACAGGUUCAGGGCGUUGUUGGAUACACCACUCCCAACAACAGCUUGGUGUUGAGUGAAAACUCACCCGUGUCCCGACCACAAGGCCUCCGUGAAGAGAGGGCCUUUGGCUGCUCUAUUUGCCCAAAGAGAUUCUCGACAUAUAAGUAUCUGAAAGCGCACCAGAAGCUCCAUACUGAAAAGCGCCACCCAUGUUUGCAGUGCGGGAGAGGGUUUCAGCACCUGUGCCACCUGAAGGCCCACAUGCUCACUCACACGGGAAAGAAGCCGAUUAACUGUCCCCACUGCGACAAAAGCUUUGUGUAUAACUUUGAGCUAAAGAUCCACCUUAGGCAGCACUCAGGCGAGAAGCCCUACGUGUGUGCGCACUGCGGGAAAGGCUUCGCGCGGCUGAGCAACUUCAAGCAGCACCAGAACAUCCACACGCGAGAGAAAGUGUACGGCUGUGCCUUCUGUGGCAUGAGGUUCACACGCUCGAGCAACCUGAGGGUCCACCUGCGGCGGCACAGCAGUCCGAGCGACUCCUGUCUGUAAUGUGGCUCAUCUGAAGGAGGCCUGUUGACCAAGCAGAGACUGUGUCAGACUUCAAUAAAGAGAUAAUGAAUUAAUAAACCACAUUAAUAAGGACAUUUUCAAGUUCCACUCAGUCAGGCCCUUCAACGCCAUAGUGCAUUGUGGACAACUUCUUUUAUAUGCAUGUGGUCAUGUAGAUCAGCCAUCUGGGUACAUUCACAGCAAAUGUGAUUUAAAAGAAAGCUGAUUCAUAAAUGUCCAGAGAAUUGAGAAUUGUAAUGAUAAAUUAAAGUUUUUUGUGUGAUGAACAAGUGUUACAAUUCUGAAGACACUCUUACACAGGGUAGCCUUAAUCUGAGGUUAUUCAAAAUGUCACAAGAUGGGCAAAUAGUCAAGAGGUCAAAAGGAGACCAAAAAACAGACAGAAGACAUUUAGUAGUGUAGCCAGACAAAUUCUUAUACAGUCCCAAGUAUGGCAGAGGGCCUGCUAUAGCAGAAAUAUUGAGUGGGGCCCUAUAACAGCUAAGAUCAUAUCAGCAAUGCCACAGCUCUCUGGCAGGGAAAUGGAAGUGAUUGUACGCUGCACUAAAAUGCUCCAUAACAGAAGAGACUAUCUGAGGAGGAGAGCAAAGGAUUUUUCAAUGGAAAGAAAUCAGUUGUCAACAAACAGUGGCUAUAGUGCUAACUAAUGCCAAAUUAAAUGUAAAACAGGGACAUUUUGAGUGUGCUGGGAAAUCAAUGAAUAAAAUUAUGUGUUGCUGAAGUAGAAGAUUGCUGGUGAUUAAUAAGUGGAGUUUUGUCAACUUUCUAACCUGUUCCACUAUUAAUAGAUGUGUAUAGUUGGGCUCAUCAGUUAAGAAUAAUAAAUGUCAUUCACCCCCAAA